ensembl:lncRNA
UCCCUGUCUGCUUCAACACCCCAUACUUCUCUCCCUACACAAUUCUGGCCAGCCUGGCUCGUCGUGCACACACCUCACUGCUCCUUCAGGCCUGGCAUGUUCGCGCUCCUCUCACCCUGCGCUCCCAGCCCAUGACACAAACACCUCUCCACUUAAGCGUCACAUCCUCAGGAAGGUCAUGAGGCCUGCAGCUGCCCCUCCAAAGCCAUGCUAACGAGUUUAUCAGGCGGGCAUCUCAUACACCGUGUCUCGGCGGCCCGCCCCGCUCACCUCUGAACAUUGGGUUGCUCUCGGGGGUGCUGGCCACGUUGAAGGCGAACGGUGUGCUCUGGCCAGCCACGCCCAGGCUGCUCUGAGUCAGGGCCCCACCAAAGGGGGUGGUGGCGCCCGUGGUCCCACUCUGUCCGGCUCCAAAACUGAAUGCUCCUGAGGUGGAGCUGGUGCCUGGGGCAGCCACCCCAAGCCCGAAGCCCCCCACUGCUGCUAGCCACGGCCCCUGACACCCCGAAGGUGAAAGGGGAUGGCACAGAGCUGCUGAACACAGAGCUGCUGGUCCCACUGCUGGUGGUCUGGGUGGUAGCUCCGAAGCCCGAGGUGGUGGCCACACCGAAGGAGAAAACUGCCGUGGAGCUGCCGAAGGCUGGCUGUGUGCUGGCAGGGGUGCCAAACGCAGAGGCUGUGGCUUUCAAACUGCCAAACGCUGACUGCGUAGAGCCGCCAAAGGCAGGCUGGGCAGAGGCCAGGGCCAGGGCCGGGACCGGAGCCGGGGUGGGGGCCGGGGCCGCAGAGUUCCCAAAAGUGAAAGAGCUGCCAAAGCUGGGAGCGAGGGCUGGCGCAGUGGACCCCUGCUGCUGCCCAUCCACAGCCCCGAAGGUGGGCUGAGAGUUGGCCCCUGGGUACGGCGGGGGUAGGACAGGGGGCUUGGUGCCCGAACUGAAGGGAAUGUUGAAUGCUGGGGUGGCUGUGUGACUGAACGUCAGCGUGGACUGGCUGGUGGUGACCGGGGCUGGGGUGGUGAGGGCACUGCUGAAGCCACUAAAGCCAGCAGUGCUGCUGCCGCUGCUGCUGCUGGCGGCUGUCUGAGCAGUGCCAGGAAGGGACUGGCCAAAGCUAGUGACAGCCGUGGACUCAGGCAUGGCGGGAGACUUGCCGAACUGGAAAAUGGAGGGCAUGGCUGGGGUGAAGCUGGCGGCAGAGGUGGGAAGGGCCCCAAGAGGAAAGGCUGAGCAGUGGAAGCAGUGGUGCUAGUCGUGCUGCUCAGGGUGCUGGCCUCGCUGUUCGUCCCAAAGCUGAAAGUGAGCUUCAAAGUAGAGUCUGUGGAGGUACUGGCUGUGGUGACAGAAGCCACCGUGGAGGCAGCGGUGGACAGGGCAGGGAAGAGAGAGGCGGUUGUGGCCGCAGUAGUGACUGGAGCAGGUGUUGGCUUGAAGAAGGGAGCUGACAAGGGGACAGAUGUAGGUGGCCCCAUGUUGUCAAAGAUGGGCUUGAAGGUUGGGGUUGCAGUGCUGGUUGUGGCGGGGAGGGUGGCGCUGGAGGAGGUGGUUGCUGUGAGGUGGGUGCCAGACAGCAAGGGCCCAUCACUCUCAACUUUAGGUGGUGGCUCAAAAAUGGGCUUGAACAUGGGAGAAGCAGAAGACAGGCUGGGAGUGGCGGCGGCGGCGGUGGUGGCAGCAGGGGUGGUGGGGGGGGUGGCAGGGCUGGAAGGCAGGGGGCUCAGCAUCUCAAAUGGUGCGCUCUGCUUGGGAGCAGGAGCAGGAGCCGGGCCGGGGGGCGUGGGGACUUUGGCACGUGUCUCAGCCUGAGCGACUGGAGGUGGCUUGGUGUCGGUGACUGGGGCUGUGGAGACAGCAGGGGCCAGCCCCAGGAGGGUGGCUGUGGGUUUUGUGUCUGAAGAGGCGCCUGGCAGGGGUCCGGAUAGGGAAGAAGCUACAGGGGCCAAGAGGCCGGCUGUCUUCAGAGGGGUAGAGGCCAUGGAGGCUGCCACUCCUGCAGGUUCUGGGAAGGAGAGGAAAAAAGGUGAGUUCCAAAGACUUCUACAGGGUGGUGUGCAACAUGUGUGCCCUCCCAGAGCCACCACUGUGCUGGGGAUCCAAGAGCCAGUCGGGAAACUGAGCAAGUCUAUGUCACAGACCCGCAAAGGCCAUCAAGGAGGCAUUCCUACUUCCACAGA